GACGUAGGGGGCGAGCGUUGUCCGGAUUUAUUGGGCGUAAAGCGUGCGUAGGCGGCUGCGCAAGUCGGGUGUGAAACCCCGGGGCUCAACCCCGGAACUGCAUCCGAUACUGCGUGGCUAGAGGUAGGUAGGGGAGAUCGGGAAUUCCGGGUGUAGCGGUGAAAUGCGUAGAUAUCUGGAGGAACACCGGUGGCGAAGGCGGCAUCCUGGACCGACACUGACGCUGAGGAGCGAAAGCCAGGGGAGCAAAGCGGG
rnacentral:rRNA from 1 species